rnacentral:rRNA from 1 species
GACGAACGCUGGCGGCGUGCCUAACACAUGCAAGUCGAGCGGGGCUGUGCGAAGCACAGAGAGUUUUGCAGUAAAGCAGUAAGGAGUUAUGAGUUAAGAGUUAUUAGUAUUAGAAGAAACACCGAAGGUGUUUCGCCAAUACUGGCAACUGACAACUGAAAACUGAUAACUGCUAAGCAAAGCGCUGUGUGCUUUGCACAUCCUAGCGGCGGACGGGUGAGUAACGCGUGAGCAACCUGCCUUUCAGUGGGGGGAUAACGUCUCGAAAGGGACGCUAAUACCGCAUGAUAUAGCGAUAUCACAUGGUAACGCUAUCAAAGAUUUAUCGCUGAAAGAUGGGCUCGCGUCUGAUUAGCUGGUUGGUGAGGUAACGGCUCACCAAGGCGACGAUCAGUAGCCGAACUGAGAGGUUGAUCGGCCACAUUGGGACUGAGACACGGCCCAGACUCCUACGGGAGGCAGCAGUGGGGGAU